AAUACAACUCUCAGCAACGGAUAUCUUGGCUCUUGCAACGAUGAAGAACGCAGCGAAAUGCGAUACGUAGUGUGAAUUGCAGAAUUCCGCGAAUCAUCGAGUCUUUGAACGCAAGUUGCGCCCGAGGCUUGACCAAGGGCAUCUCUGCCAGAGCGUCAC
rnacentral:rRNA from 1 species